CCCUUAGAUGUCCUGGGCUGCACGCGCGCUACACUGAUGUGUCCAGUAAGCACCUAACCUCUUCCGAAAGGAACGGGUAACCUUUGCAAAGCACAUCGUGAUGGGGAUAGAUUAUUGCAAUUAUUAGUCUUGAACGAGGAAUUCCUAGUAAGCACAAGUCAUCAGCUUGUGUUGAUUACGUCCCUGCCCUUUGUACACACCGCCCGUCGCUCCUACCGAUUGAGUGGUCCGGUGAGGCUUUGGGAUCUGAGCAAAGAGAGCGUUUCGCUCGUUUUGCCCGGAAAACUCAGUCGAACCUUAUCAUUUAGAGGAAGGAGAAGUCGUAACA
rnacentral:rRNA from 1 species